GACGAACGCUGGCGGCGUGCUUAACACAUGCAAGUCGAACGGAAAGGCCCUGCUUUUGUGGGGUGCUCGAGUGGCGAACGGGUGAGUAACACGUGAGUAACCUGCCCUUGACUUUGGGAUAACUUCAGGAAACUGGGGCUAAUACCGGAUAGGAGCUCCUGCUGCAUGGUGGGGGUUGGAAAGUUUCGGCGGUUGGGGAUGGACUCGCGGCGUAUCAGCUUGUUGGUGGGGUAGUGGCUUACCAAGGCUUUGACGGGUAGCCGGCCUGGGAGGGUGACCGGGGACAAGGGGGGAGGGGGGAGGGCCGGGCGGGGAGGGGGGGCAGCAGGGGGGAGUGGGGCAGGAUGGGGGUGAGGCUGAGGCGGGCACGGCGCGGGGGGGAAGACGGAGGGCGGGUAGGAGACCAGGAGGAGCAGGGAAGAAGCGGGUGGUGACGGGACCGGCAGAAGAAGCACCGGCUAACCACGUG
rnacentral:rRNA from 1 species